CCCCUCCUCCGACACAAACAACUUCCACAACUUUACCGACCGUCCCUAGUGCAAGUGGCAAAGAGCUUAGUGGUUGGUACUCGAGGUUCCGAGUUCAAAUCCUAAUUGAUUCACAUUUUCAGCUAAAUUUAUUUCUAAAUAAAAUAAAUGAAGCGGAUAGCAUGCUACCUAUUUCUCUCUCAAAAAAAAAAAAAAAACCUUUUCAACUUUCUCAAACUAUUGAGGCGAUUUUGAAUUAGUAUAGUAGUUUUUAUAUUUUCGCCAACAAGUUAGAGUAGUUUAGUUUUCUUAUUCCAGUCAAAGUUAGUGGUUGCACCGUCAACAAGCAGAAUACAAGUCGGUUUGCUAAACCAUCGAGCUGAAAAAUCUAACUCGUGUUCAGGCUUUAUAUUAAUGAGCCGAACAUGAGUUGCGUUGCGAACAACAAGUUAGAUUGUCUGUUCUACUAUUAAGUAAAAUAUUAGAAGAAAAUUCAAAAAUUAGAAUCUUAAUCUAAUAAUUAAAAUUCACAAAAUAUAGAUCUCUUUAUAUUUGAGUUAGCUUAAAAUCCAAAUAGUGAAAAUUUGUAAUAUUUAUAGUCCAGCUGGGGUGCUUUUAGAAGUACCAAUUAAUGUAUUGAUGCUAUAGGUAUAGAUCUCUUUACAUUUGGAUUGGCCUAAAAUCCAAAUAGUAAAAUUCGUAAUAAAUAUAGUCCCAUUUAGGUGCUUUUAGAAGCACCUAAAAGUACUAUGGUGUUGGUACUAUGAUAUUAAUUUUGGCCACCGAAUCAGCCCUAGCAAUUCUUGGAUUAUAUACAUAAUCGUGGGUCCCACGAGUAAGCAUUACUGUUGAUUUUUAAUCCAAUGACCAAAUGGUAGAUCCAAGGGCUAAGUAAUUUUUGGUACUUUUAGAAGCAUUCCAACUCAGUUUAUAUAUAUUCGAGCUGUGUCGAGCCGAUCACGAGAGAGUUGAUCAGUUCAUGUUCGGCUCGUUUAUUAAACAACUGAUCAAUCUGGAGAUUAUUUUCGAACCAAACACGAGCUGGCUUACGAACAAUAAGCUGGAUUGUCAGCCCUAUAGAUAGUGAUAGCUUACACAAUUUUAGAAGUAGUUUCGGUAGCAUAAAUAGUUUCACACAUUCUUGACGUUUGGCUUU
rnacentral:lncRNA from 1 species